AGGAUUGCUCUCGGAAACCAUUUAAGCAACAGACAUGAAGGUGUUUGGUCAUAAACAACACAUUCUACAAGAGGAGCGUUCCACUUGGCUGGGAGCAGAUAAUGUGUGCAUCCCGAGAGCAGACAGAACCAAGAGCAGGCAAACUUAGAAGACACUCAGCUAAGCACUUGCUGACUUCUUACAGGUUCACCGAUCAGGUAAUUAUCCAGUUGAUAUUUAUCUUGUUCCAGUCACCUUUAGAAAGCUGUUUGGUGAGUACAAUGUUAAUAUAGAGACAAUCAGAAUGGUGUGUGCUUUUGUACAAAACUUGUGGAUCCAUCAAUGAGGCAUCUGCCAUUUUUUCUUUCUUCCCCUCUAUAUUACAAGUUCUGGAAUGCCUGUUCUAAUUCUCCAAGGAGAAUUAGAAAAUAAAAGGCAGAGUCUAGAGCCAUGUCAAUAUCCUCCCACAGAAUGUGUAUGGAGAAUAUUCCACUGGGAACCAUGAUAGAUAAAAACUUACCAGGAAGAGCAAAACAUCAAGAGAGUCUGACAAAAGCUCUGCCCUCCUCUGUAACCCAGCAGCCUCUGCAGAAUCAUCCUUUCUUCAUUGUUUUAAAAUGUUGUUAA
rnacentral:lncRNA from 1 species